UAUAGCUGAAUAAUUUAGUAAAACAUUAAUAUAACGGAAGAAUUUAGGAUAAUUUUGAUUUCUUUUUCUUUUUUUGGCAAAUCAAAAAUAAUUAAUUAAUUUUUAAUCUAUAUCGCAAAGUGUACAACCGUUUUGUGAAGAAAUAAUUUGCUAAAAAACAAAAACAAAAAUGUCAUGCGGAUUUUUUUUGUCAACUAUGCAGAAAUUAAUAUUUGACUUACACCAGGAAGACGUUAUUAUUUCAAAAUUUUGUAGAGAAAAACUAGAUCUAGACUACAUAUUUAGAACCAACAUUCAAGAGUCAAAACUGACAUUCAGGAUCUAAAAUUUUAAAAGGUAAUGACAGGAGAUAAUGGUGAUGUAGUAGCUCACCAGCUUCCCACCUCCCCUUUUGACAAAAUAAAAUGAUUAGUUUAAUUAUGCCAGUUGGACCACUUCAUAUUUACAGGAAAAUACGAUUUUUCCCUUAUGAAUUAUUUAUUGCGGAAUAAUAGAAACUUCAUUCAUGUUGUUAGUGGAUGCCAUCAUGCCAGGACUUAAUCUAGUUUGUGAGAUUGAUGAUAAAAAUGAACUUAUAUUUUCGUUGAAAUGAACACCUAUCAGAAAAUACAAUCAACAAACGCUUAAUUGAAUAAAUCCCAAGAAGACAAGGCGAAGAUCUUAAGUAUGAAAAUCAUCUGAAUUAAAUCGAUUACACAUGAUUGGUUUAGCUUAUAUUGUAGACCAUUUGCUCAAUUUUCUUUAUUGAGCCAGUAUAGAAAUAUGUUAUUCCUUUUAUACAAAAGUUGACAUGCUGACUUCAGAGCCGGCUUACUAGGAGAACAAACGGUGCGACCGUCGGUGUUUUUUGUAUAAUAAUAAUUAAGGGGUCUAAUUUUUUAUAAAUUUAUAUUUUUAUAUAUAAAAAAAUUAUAAAUAUAUUAAAUAAAAUUGAAAAGGAUUUAAAAUUAUUUGAUAUGUAUAUAGUUUUAUUUUCAUUACAAAAUAUAUAAAAUAUUAUUGAUUAAAUUUUAAAAAUAUUUUAAAUAUUAUUGGCAUAUAAAUUUAGAUAGUAAAAUUUUUUCUUUUUGCUCUAGAUCCCUAGAAGUGUUGAGCCGGCCCUGGCUGACUUGUGAUCUCGAGGAUACACGUGAAACUCAAAAAAAAAAAUCAUAUGGUCUAGUUAUGGUCUAAAAUCUUACAUUACCUUAAAAUCUUCAAAAAUGUAAUCGCUCUUAAACCAAUAAUCUUAUUGGGCCAUUUGAUAGUCGCUAAGUUAGGCCCAUUAAAGCUCAAACAUAACAAACCAGUAGUGGUUUCUAUGGGCCCGUGUUUAGGGAACUAUGCACUUGUGUUGAUUUACUUGUCUCCAUUGGAUAUGAUUAGUGCUGGGAAUAUGAAUCAUUAUCCGCAGGCCCCGUCCCAUUUGAUCCGCUGCAGGACGGAUGCGGAUCGAGUGAUUUGAAAAAUUUGGUUAGCGGGUGCGGGUGCGGGUUGAGUGAUUUUUAUGCGGGGUGGGUGCGGGUCAGCCAAAAUUCAGUGCGGGUAUCCGUCAACCCGCAAAAACUAAAAAAAACUUUUUUUAAAAAAAUAUUAUUUUUAAAUAGAAAAUUUUUUAAAAAUAAUUUAAUUUUAAUUAUAAAUAGAUUAAUAUUUAUUAUUUUUAAUAAAAACUAUUUAAAAUAUUAAAUUUUAUUGUUAUUUUUAAUAAAAAAAUAUUUAAAAUAUUAAAUUUUAUUGUUAUUUUAAUAAAAAAAUAUUUAAAUUAAUAAUUUUUAAUAUUAUUAAUAUUAUCUGCGGGUCUAGCGGAUUAUCUGCGGAUCUAGCGGAUCACCCGCGGGUUUUAGCGGAGCGGGUGCGGAUUUCAUAUUUUCUUCCUGCGGGUCAAGCGGAUCAAAUUUUUUGAGUAAAAAAAAUCAGUUUAUCCGCGAGUUGGCGGGUCAACGGGCCGGGUUUGACCCGCAACCCAGCUCUAGAUAUGAUAUACUUGAUCAUAUAACAAAAGCAACCAAAUCGAGAGCACAAGAUUGUGAGAGGGAGUGUAGAAAUAAGAGUGUGGAGGUAACAUUCUUAUCGGCUACAUAUGUAAAUACAGCUUUGUGUCACAACUGAAACUGGAGAGAAGAUACAACUCAGUAGUGUCCUACUGGAGAGAAGAUACAAGCGGCAACUGAAGGAGUUGUUCGAUGAAACACAACAAAGAGGUAGAUCGCUACUAUCUUGAGAAUACUCUAUACUUGGUACCUUGUGUAAAUUUGUUGUAUAUGAUAAUAAUUAAAAUUAGAGAUUUCAAUGUUGUAAAGAUCGAACUUGAGUGUUCACAAGAACACAGAGAGUGUUAGUGUUCUCCUUUGUAUAGCAAAUCUGGAUCGUCUAAACCAAAAAGGUCCAAAACUAUAGUAGAUGUUUAGAAGCAUAUUCUCUGUUAGAAAAUGUCAAUAUUUACUUAUUUUUCCUUUUGAUAUACUGAAACUGAAAGGGUUUAAUGAGUGAAUUUUAUACUAGUUGAGACUUAAGAUAGUAAAUGUUACAGAUCAAGAAUAUGUAGGACGUUGAUCAGCACAAAAGUCCAAGACCUUACAAAUGAGUGUUGAGCAUAUCCAAGUCGUAGCCCAAUCAAAACUACGCCCAUAACUAAAUCUUAUUUAGGAAUCAGGAUGGUGAUUAGAGGAAUGAAUUAGUUUCAUUUGUGAAAGUGGAUUCAAUACAUUAUUGAUAUGGCUCCUAUUCAGUCACAUUCACAAUCUUCUUUAGUGUCAAAUCUGAAAGGGUGUAACAUUUCUUUUUGUCUUUCUUUAACUAAAACCAGCUUUCUCCUCUCUAAUCCACUUUUGCUUUCGCCCCAUAAAAAAUUGCCUUUCGCUUUCAACUUUCAACUUUCUCAUCCCUUUGCUGAAAUCUCUGUAAAAAUUUCAAUCUGAAAGAACUUACAAUCUUCCUUUAUCGCUUUCAGUCACUGUGCUCACAGCUUUUCUUUUAUGCUCACCUCCUUUCUCCCACGUUCAUCAUCUUUUUCCCUUACACUCUUUUGAUUAAUCGGAAAGAAUGGAAACCAUAUGUUAAAUGUUGAGUUGUGGUGGUAAAACCAAUAUAAAUGUUUUAGUCACAGUAAACUAUGUACCUGCUGAAAAUGGACUAGCUCACAUGCUGAAGUUAGAGCUUCGACAGAUGUGUGUGUGCGCGAGUGUCCUUGUAACAACAUGAAGUGGUGGGAUUAGGAAAAGAGUGAUUGAUGAUGAAACAAAGGACUUUGGUAAGAAGGAAGUGUCAAUGUCCACUACAGAAAUUAGAAGAGGUGGUAUUGGUGAAAUGAAAGUGCAAAGGAGGAAGGGUAACCAAAUCUUGGUUUGUGACCAUAAAUAACAAAAAGCAAACCCACGAAAAUUUCUAAAGUAAAACACAAUGAGUCAAUGAGAGACGCUCCCUCGAGAAACUAAGUUCUCUCACGCCCUACGAGUCGGCCAUGCCAUGCCACCAUUGUAUUCUCAUUAUCUUUUCUUUAUUUUAUUGUUUCCUUCUCUAAAUAUCAUCUUAUCACUUUAUAUUUUCUCUUACUUUACAAGCAUCCAAAGUUUGAUUAAUUUAAUGAAUAUAUUGUAUCUUCUUCUGUAAAGAUUAAAGGCAAAUAAUCCAUGUGCAAACUUUGUUGCUAUAUGUUCUAUAAUAUAUUCCCUCGGCUUUCUUUUUCCCUUUGUUUCGCUUUAAGAAGAAAGGCUAAAUAUGCUUUUGUAUGUUCUUAAUUCAAUGACAUAGAGGUAUAAGUUCGAUAUUAACAGAAUGCAUGUAAUGGAAACAUUUACAUAGAGUAUAAUGAUAUGAUAUAUGAAAACAGAAACAGGUGUGUGGGUUAUACUACUAUACAUGCCUUGAAUAAAUUAGACCUAGGAUCCUUCACUUUUAACACUAGUUGAGAAUAAAGCGAAGUCUUUCUGAUUUUAUUCCUCCUACCCACAUCCACAUGAUCUACAUGUGCCUAUAUAGAUCACCUACAUGUGUAUAUGUAAUGUAAUGCUCACACCUACAUGUGUAUAUGUAAAGUAAUGCUAUUAAAUAUCUCAAUUAUUAUAUAAAUUUUAAUGAAUGCAAAUCCUGUCAUAUAUAAUGUCAUUUUCGUUUGUCUCGAUCUCAUUACCACCAAUAAUCGCUGUCCAAUUUCUCUAAGAAUGUUGUAUACUCUUUUGAUUAACUAAGGGCUGGUGAAGUAUGCAAAAAGGGAUCUAAAUAUUAAUGAAGAUAGUUAAAAAAGGGAUGCAGUUAAUGGCGAACGCGUGUACCAAACUAAAAGGACAAAGAUAAUUAAGAUGUAAUUAAAAGACGUAUGUCUUUAUACGCUAAUAUUAAGCUUCGGUCUCCUUGCGUCCCCGUUUAUCCUAACCAAAAC